rnacentral:rRNA from 1 species
ACAGGGUGACAGGUGGUGCAUGGUUGUCGUCAGCUCGUGUCGUGAGAUGUUGGGUUAAGUCCCGCAACGAGCGCAACCCUCGCCUCUAGUUGCCAGCAUUCGGUUGGGCACUCUAGAGGGACUGCCGGCGACAAGUCGGAGGAAGUGGGGAUGACGUCAAGUCUUCGUGGCCCUUAUAGGUGGGGCUACACACGUCAUACAAUGGAUGGUACAAAGGGUCGCCAACCCGCGAGGGGGAGCCAAAUCCCAUAAAGCCAUUCGUAGUCCGGAUCGCAGUCUGCAACUCGACUGCGUGAAGUCGGAAUCGCUAGUAAUCGUGGAUCAGAAUGUCACGGUGAAUACGUUCCCGGGUCUU